AACACUGUUAACCUGCGGUACCUGCGGAGGGAUCAUUACAGAGUUGCAAAACUCCCUAAACCAUUGUGAACGUUACCUAAACCGUUGCUUCGGCGGGCGGCCCGGGUCCUUCCCGGCGCCCCUCGGCCCUCGCGGGCGCCCGCCGGAGGUAAACCAAACUAUUGCAUUGUAUGGCCUCUCUGAGUCUUCUGUACUGGAUAAGUCAAAACUUUUAACAACGGAUCUCAGAUCGGAAGAGCA
rnacentral:misc_RNA from 1 species